GGCGCUUUGGCUUAGUGGUAAAGCGUCUAUCUUGUAAACAGAAGAUCAUGGGUUCGAAUCCCAUAAGUGCCU
rnacentral:tRNA from 1 species